GUGUGUAGCCAUAUCACCCUGCAGCCCAAGACUGGUUGCCCACUGAAGCUAAGCAGGGUUGAGCCUGGUCAGUACCUGGAUGGGAGACCUCCUGGGAAAACUAGGUUGCUGCUGGAA
rnacentral:rRNA from 1 species